rnacentral:lncRNA from 1 species
AAGAGAGAAGUAACAUUUUGAAGUAUUUAUCUGGUCAUCUCCAACACAACACUUACCUUGAACUCUCAGAAUCAACCAUGUCCAACAAAUUGUUUUUCUCCCAGAAUCUUGUUUUAGGUGUCAUAACAACUAAAUCAACAACCUUAAAAUUCAACAACCACUUCUCAUUCCCAUUCUCACUCAAAUGCAGCAGCAUCACAACAUCUCAAUCAGAAUCAAUCACACAACCUUUUGCUGUAUCUUAUCUUAUCAACAAUUUUGAUUUCUCAACUGAAUCAGCUCUCAAAGCUUUCAACCUCAGGCAAGUUCGUUUCAAUACCCCAGAUAAUCCUGACUCAGUCAUCAACUUCUUUCAAAACCAUGGUUUUUCACACUCUGACAUACGCAUCAUCAUCAAAAAAGCACCAUGGUUACUUUCAUCACAACCCCACAAAAGGUUAUUGCCUAAGUUUCAAUUUUUUAUAUCCAACGGUGCUUCUUUAUCUGAUAUUGUUCCAUUGUUAACUGCAAACCCUCACAUUUUACAAAGUAGCUUGGACAAACGGAUAAUCCCUCUUUUUCAAUUAUUAAAUAGGUUUUUGAAAACCAACAAGGAUACUAUUGUUUACUUAAUUCUAAAUUCAAGGUCGUUUAUAACUCCCCUUCACCUUCUAGAGGCUAAUAUCAAUUUGAUGGUUGAUUUUGGAGUUUGUGAUUCUGCCAUUGCUAGAUUGCUUCGAACUAGGAAAUCUAUAUAUUGUUCAAAUGAUUUGAUUAAGUCAUUGGAGGACGUUAAGGGUUUAGGGUUUGACCCUUCAACGGCCGCUUUUGGGACUGCUUUGGUGACCAAGCAUUGUAUGAGUAACAUACUUUGGGAUAAGAAAGUUGACGUCUUUAAGAAAUGGGGUUGGUCUGAUGAAGAUGUUAUUCGAGUAUUUAGGUGUCAGCCUAGUUUGAUGUUGGCUUCAAUUGAUAAGAUUAAUUUGGUGAUGAGUUUUUGGGUUAAUCAAAUGGGUUGGGAUCCCUUGGAACUUACUAAAUCUCCACUUAUGUUUGGUUAUAGUUUACCAAAACGGAUCAUUCCAAGAGCCUCAGUUUUGCAAUUUAUUUUGAUGAAAGGUUUGCGGAAAAAAAAUGCGAGCUUAGGUAGACCAUUUUCUUAUUCUGAGAAUAUGUUCUUGAACAAGUGUGUUUUCAGCUUUAAGGAGGAGUCUGAUUAUCUGUUGAAGCUAUAUGACGAAAAAAUGAAACUUGCAAAUACAACGGAGAACAAUGGGAUGCCAUCCACCAAAUGUAUAAGAUUUUGAUCUUCUUUUGUAAUAUAACCUUAUCUUGUUCCUUCUUUGAUUUCAAGUACUUAUUCUUUCUAGGCCAGGAUAAGGGGUUGGUAUUGUUGGCUUGUUUCAUUUACUAAUUUGAACUACUGUUAUUUUUUCGUUACCAUCAAUUUUAGUUACAAUUUCGAUGCAUAGGUCUUGCAUUUUGUAUAUAGUAGUUACAAUUUCUUUAGACCUUGUACUGUUGUACAUGUGAAAGUUCAAAUGGUCUUGCAUUUGGUCUGAGAAUGCUUGUCUCAUCCUGUUAGUUCUUCUUUGUUUAUUUGGCCCAAGAAUCCAUAGUAUAUACAAAUUACAUAUGCAGAUUCUUCAUGAUUGAAGCUUUCAGCUUUCAGCUUUAGACUUGUAAAUGCAUCUUUUAACUACUUUUUCUCUACACAUUGUCAUUUUAAGGGAACUUCUAUCUUUUAAGAUUUAAGUAAGUUACCAUUUUCUAUUGCUAAUAUAGUCAUAUGCAAUGAGAUUAAACAGAUUUGUGGUCUUUUUUAAAGCAAUCACAAGCUAACUCUCAUCCGAUCUGCUUGUUGGGUCGCUCAGAGAGGAAGGAAGCAAUCCGUUUAGAAAGCGGAGGCCACUAUCUUACUAAAAGCAUGACAUGAUUUGUAAAGAGGUUAAUGGAGAAUGUGUAAAUACUCACGGGUCGGAGUCCUGGGUGAAGAUGUGCUGCUGGUUGUCAUUGAACCAGUGCUUUCCUAUGGUAGAAGAAACUGAUGGAAAUUGACAUUGAUUGGGGAUUUCAUAUAUCAAUUGGAUCUAAAUAUAGACGGCAAUAAUCAAAUCCUUCUCUAAUCCCUGAUGUUUGUCUUCCAGGUAGUCUAUACUUCAAUCCAUGGACCAUAGUCAUCGAAGAGGGAGAGGAUAUGGAAUCCGGCAGCAAGGGGAAAAAUUUCUUGGGCAAAACAAGAUAAGUUAUAUAAUGAAAAUACGACUAAUUUAUGUUAUCACAGGUUUUUUUUUUUUCAAUGUUGUUUUCAGCCCAUCACCAAUUUUUUAUUAAAAUUUCUAUAAAUUUUUCUUGUAUGAAUUAUUUAGAUUUUUAUUGGGUAGUGUAUGAAAGACGUAGUUUUUGAUAGAACACUCUGGUUUCGUUUGAUUCAUGUAGCCGACGCAACUUAGUGGGAUAAGGCUUGGUUGCUGUUGUUGUUGUUUUGAUGUUUGAAACAAUGGUGCAGCAAUACAUGCAGAAACUUACAGACCAAUGUUGCGCCUCAUUAGACAUCUAAAAAACAAAACCAACAAUACGAUGAAGGAGGAUCAUGAGAACAGGGUUGAUGAACUACAAUAUAUUUUAUCAACAAUGGAUCACGUUUCCUUUAGCUUGCCAUAGCAUUUUCACUAAUUUCCUUCGCUUUACAUUCUGUUAGAACGGAUUUGUCAUUUUCCCUUGCUGCAAUUUGAUUCCAUUUUUGUGUUAUUCAUAUCAUGCGGAUCUGUUGACAUCUGGCUGUGAUCAUUGUAAUUGAUUGAAGACUAUUUAGCUAACUUUGAUUGAACGAAAAAGGCAAGCAAGAAUUAAGUCACAUUUUCCCUCUGUCAAAUUCUCUUUCUGUUUGGACUUCUAUUUCUGUGUCUUAUCACCUUCCCAUUGUAUGAUGGGUUUUGUUUGAUUGCAUUUUAAAGAGUACAGCUUCACAUGUUACAUGUUAACUGAAAACACGGUAUUAUGUGCAUACAAUUUAGUUGAUUGUGCAGUUUGUAAAUUUCUGAUAUAUUAUACAAUUAGAUUUUUCACAAGUUAUAUGUUUUCUUUUGACUUGUUGCAUGCAUCUUGACUAAAUUUCAGUUUGUAAAUCUCUUAAAGCUUAAAGAAUUGUUUCUGUUAUACAUUUUGGAGAGACUGUGCAUGUAAUAAGACAAGUAUAUUAGCAUAGAGCCUCCAACUCAGUCAAAACAAAAUGGGACUAGACAAUGACGUAAGAAACCAUGGUCCAUGUUUGUAGCAAUACUAACCAUAUUGCGUGAUAACGGGCAAGACACGCGAUCGUAGUGGAGCUACACAACAAGAACAGUGUCAGCGGAUCAUGUCUUGAAGGAGGAGACCGACAACCAAACGUGGGGUGACAUGAUCCCGUAAACGAGGAAAAAUCAUACACCAUCAAAAUAGCUGAGAAUAGGUUUAGCAUUGUAGGCAAUGUUGUUUGGCUAAUAUGCAAUAGUUUUAAUAUAAAAACUCAGUUCAUACACUGUAAUUAACUUAUCCAAUCAAUGAAACAAAUUUAUUUCACAUUUUUUAUCCUUUUAUUUUUCUGUCUUUAGCUUUAUUUUAUACGUUUGUUGAUGUAGCUCAAAAACUAAAAAAAUAAUCAUACAUAACAAAAUGUGGGAGAAGUUAAGAGAAUUCAUAACUGAUCCGCAAAUUAAUCUACGGGAGUGGUUAUGGUGCAUAAGGAAAUUCUUAUGCACCGUGCAUAAAUCUCAACAUAAUUGCUUCCUACACCCCCAAAGUGAGCCAAAACCAUUUUUGUUCAAAAUAAAAGAAAUCUGAUGGUUGUGAUGUGUUUAUGCACGGUGCAUAAGGAAAUAACUUAUGCACCAUAACUUUUGCCGUCCAUAUAAUGGUUGAGCAUUGGAGUGUGUAGUUCGAAUUAGUUUCAUCUAUUGGUCCGAUUAGAAAACUCAAUGGAAGCUAGUGUAAUUUUCCCUAAUUAAAAAAAAUAAUAAUGGUUUGUUUGAGAAAUGUCAUUUCAUCAUAUAUAGUUUAUUUCAUGAAAUUUCAAAGGAAAAAAAAAAUGCUUAUUUCACGAAUUUAUAUUUUAUUUUUCAGACGAUAUUUUAAAUAACGUUUAAGCUCUUAACUUAACAUUUUUUUCUUUAAUUUUUAUUUUUAUUAUUUUAUUUAAAAUUCAAUUUUACCCAUUAGAAUUUAUUAUCAUAUAAAAUGAUAUAUAUGGUUCCUUGAUAGAUAUCGUUGUUAAAGAUAUUAUAUGAUGUACGUAAAGGUUAGAGUGCGAACUUCAUUCAUUCAUUCAUCAUAAAAAGGUGAAUUUCUAAAUUGUUAGACUACUUAAAAAAAUCCAUUUGUCUUUCCUAUAAGUGUACCUUUUUUUUUUUUUUUUUAACAAUAAAAAAUGGAAUUAUAUUAACAACAAGAGUCUCAUUAGCACAAGGCGUGCCUCAAAGACUCGUCAAGAAAACACCAAAAAGUAGAAGUCAGUACAACAACGAAACCAACUCAACCAAUACCCAAACAUUGUAAAGGGCUUGACCACCAACUAUUAGUGUCAAACAUAAAAGAGACUUUUCUAACUUUCAACCAACCUAAGGACAAAUAUUUUACUUUGUCAAGCAACCUGGGCAAAGGAGUCACAUGAUUAUUAAAACACCUAUUGUUACGUUCAGUCCAUAAGACCCAGACACAGAGUAGCCAAAUUAGUUGGAGAAAAUAUUUUGUCGCCUUACUCCCAACUGUUGUGUGAACAAACUGAACAAAGUGGUCAAACAAAUCAUUAGUAUCCACUCCAACAAAACCAAUCCAAUCACGAACCAUCAGCCAAAGUGAAGCGAAGGAAGAGCACGAAAGAAACAAAUGUUGCGCCGACUCCAAAGCACCGUAACCAGAGACACACAAACCAGCGUCUGGUGAAAUGACACCUCUGUAUAUCAGAUUCGAUUUAGUAGGCAAACAAUCAUGUAGAAGCCUCCAAGCGAAAAUUGAUACCUUCAACAGAACCUGUCUGUGCCAAAUCAUCUUCGCUGCUAGGUCCACCGGAGAUAAGUCUGUAGAAUUCAACACGUAAUAAGCCCCCCGAACUGAAUACCCCUGCUUGGGGUCCGGGAUCCACAACCACUGAUCUGAAACAUUAACAAGCAAAGAAACAUCAAACAGAAGAGCCCUACACUCCUCUAACAUCUCCUCCUCCCACACCCACAAUCUCCGCCUCCACUGCCACGCCUCACCCCCUUCCUUGACCCCAAGAGAAAACAAAUAUUGCCACUGUAACAUAUUUAUUCUCAUAAAGCUCAAAUAACCUACGAAAACGAACACACAAAGGAACCGAUCCCAACCAAGUAUCAAACCAAAAAAGAGUAUCAUUCCCAUCCUCUACCUUCCUAGUAACACAAUAAUGAAACCAACCCCCCCUAACAUCACCGUCCCCAUCCCUAAUCCUCCCUACCUCCCGCCACCAAGAAGAACAACUUCGGCCCCCAACCUCCAACCUCCCACAUACUUCGCCAUAACGAGCGACUAAAACUCUAUACCAAAAUCCACCCCUAUCCACUGACAACCUCCAACACCAUUUCCCUAAUAAGGCAAUAUUAAACUCCUUCAACUGUCUAACCCAUAACCCUCCAAACUCCUUUUGGAGACAAACAGAACUCCAAGCUAUCCAAGAUAUUUUCCUAUAAUCCUCACCCCCAUCCCAAAAAAAAAUAUUAAAUAAAGAUUCAAUGGUAGAGAUUAUACCUGACGGAGCUUUGAAGAAGGAAAGUGCAUAGACAGGCCGAGAAGUCAAGACAGCUUUGAGAACAACCAAGCAGCCACCAAAAGAGAGGAAACGACUAUUCCAACCCGACAAUCGAGCUUUAACACGAUUCACAAUUGGAUCCCAGCAACACAAACGACGAGGAUUACCCCCAAUCGACAAACCCAAGUAUAAGAAAGGCACCUUACCCAUUUUACAAUUUAGCACUGACGCGACCUCGCUUAACCAGGAAGGGGCAAUGUUAACCCCCACCAACGAACUCUUAUGGAAAUUAACUUUCAACCCAGACAUUGCCUCAAAGAUAACAAGAACCGCCCUCAUAGCACAUACAUUGGCCCAACUUUUAGUACCCCCCAGCAAAGUAUCAUCAACAAAUUGGAGGUGGGACACCACCACCGGAUUGACGUCCCUGAUGCUAUAACCAUUGAGCAACUGAGUCGCAACCAGCGACCUCAUCAAAACAUUAUGUGCAACGAUCGGAGUCCGAACUCCCAAAUUUUAAUAUACAAUAUUUAAUAUAUGAGGAGUGAUAUUUGAACAACCAUUUGAGGCAACUUUUGAUGACAACUUUUUUUUUCUCUUUUUUUAUUGGUUAAAAACAUUCUCUCUUUUUAUUGGUUAAAAACAAUGGAGAGAGAAAAUAAGAAGAUAUUACGAGUAUGAAAGAAAAAGUUAUGAGAGUUGGAACUUUGUCUGGAUAAUCAAAAUUGUUGGGCGCUAAAGAUUUUUCACCAACAAGCUUAUCUCCUCAUUCCACACCGCAAACACUAUGUCACUAUCUGGUUAUCUCCAACACAACAACACUCACAUUGAACUCUCAAAAUCACCCAUGUCCAACAAAUUGUUUUUCUCCCAGAAUCUUGUUUUAUGUCUCAUCACAACUAAAUCAACAACCUUAAAAUUCAACAACCACUUCUCAUUCCCACUUUCACUCAAAUGCAGCAGCAUCACAACAUCUCAAUCAGAAUCAAUCACACAACCUUUUGCUGUAUCUUAUCUUAUCAACAAUUUUGAUUUCUCAACUGAAUCAGCUCUCAAAGCUUUCAACCUCAGGCACGUUCGUUUCAAUACCCCAGAUAGGCCUGACUCAGUCAUCAACUUCUUAAAAAGCUAUGGCUUUUCAAACUCCAACAUUCGCAUCAU